rnacentral:ncRNA from 2 species
AAGUUACCGCUUAAGCCCUCUCGUAUAACCCCACUAAUAUGGUUUGGGGGUCUCUACCAGGAACCGAUAAUUUCUGAUUACGAAGAGUAUUGCGUUAUGC